rnacentral:tRNA from 1 species
GUCGGGAUGCUCAGAU